rnacentral:rRNA from 1 species
GAUGAACGCUGGCGGCGUGCCUAAUACAUGCAAGUCGAGCGAACGGACGAGAAGCUUGCUUCUCUGAUGUUAGCGGCGGACGGGUGAGUAACACGUGGAUAACCUACCUAUAAGACUGGGAUACCUUCGGGAAACCGGAGCUAAUACCGGAUAAUAUUUUGACCCGCAUGGUUCCAAAGUGAAAGACGGUCUUGCUGUCACUUAUAGAUGGAUCCGCGCUGCAUUAGCGAGUUGGUAAGGUAACGGCUUACCAAGGCAACGAUGCAUAGCCGACCUGAGCGGGUGAUCGGGCACACGGGAACUGAGACACGGUCCAGACUCCUACGGGGGGCAGCAGUAGGGAAUCUUCCGCGAUGGGCGAAAGCCUGACGGAGCAACGCCGCGUGAGUGAUGAAGGUCUUCGGAUCGUAAAACUCUGUUAUUAGUGAAGAACAUAUGUGUAAGUAACUGGGCACAUCUUGACGGUACCUAAUCAGAAAGCCACGGCUAACUACGUG